UUUAAAGAGAGUUUGAUCCUGGCUCAGGACGAACGCUGGCGGCGUGCCUAAUACAUGCAAGUCGAACGAACGGAGGAAGAGCUUGCUCUUCCAAUGUUAGUGGCGGACGGGUGAGUAACACGUGGGCAACCUGCCUGUAAGUUGGGGAUAACUCCGGGAAACCGGGGC
rnacentral:rRNA from 1 species